AUUGAACGCUGGCGGCAUGCUUUACACAUGCAAGUCGAACGGCAGCACGGGGGCAACCCUGGUGGCGAGUGGCGAACGGGUGAGUAAUGCAUCGGAACGUGCCCUGUCGUGGGGGAUAACACAUCGAAAGAUGUGCUAAUACCGCAUACGACCUGAGGGUGAAAGCGGGGGACCGUAAGGCCUCGCGCGAUAGGAGCGGCCGAUGUCUGAUUAGCUAGUUGGUGGGGUAAAGGCCUACCAAGGCGACGAUCAGUAGCUGGUCUGAGAGGACGACCAGCCACACUGGGACUGCGACACGGCCCAGACUCCUACGGGAGGCAGCAGUGGGGAAUUUUGGACAAUGGGGGCAACCCUGAUCCAGCCAUGCCGCGUGCGGGAAGAAGGCCUUCGGGUUGUAAACCGCUUUUGGCAGGAACGAAACGGUGCGGGCGAAUACCCUGUGCUAAUGACGGUACCUGCAGAAUAAGCACCGGCUAACUACGUGCCAGCCGCCGCCGUAA
rnacentral:rRNA from 1 species